CCUACGGGUGGCAACAGUGAGGAAUAUUGGUCAAUGGACGAGAGUCUGAACCAGCCAAGUAGCGUGAAGGAUGACUGCCCUAUGGGUUGUAAACUUCUUUUAUAUGGGAAUAAAACGUUCCACGUGUGGGAUUUUGUAUGUACCAUAUGAAUAAGGAUCGGCUAACUCCGUGCCAGCAGCCGCGGUAAUACGGAGGAUCCGAGCGUUAUCCGGAUUUAUUGGGUUUAAAGGGAGCGUAGGUGGAUUGUUAAGUCAGUUGUGAAAGUUUGCGGCUCAACCGUAAAAUUGCAGUUGAAACUGGCAGUCUUGAGUACAGUAGAGGUGGGCGGAAUUCGUGGUGUAGCGGUGAAAUGCUUAGAUAUCACGAAGAACUCCGAUUGCGAAGGCAGUUCACUGGACUGCAACUGACACUGAGGCUCGAAAGUGUGGGUAUCAAACAGGAUUAGAUACCCUAGUAGUC
rnacentral:rRNA from 1 species